rnacentral:rRNA from 1 species
UGGGGAAUUUUGGACAAUGGGCGAAAGCCUGAUCCAGCCAUGCCGCGUGAGUGAAGAAGGCCUUCGGGUUGUAAAGCUCUUUUAGUCGGAAAGAAAGAGUUGCAAUGAAUAAUUGUGAUUUAUGACGGUACCGACAGAAAAAGCACCGGCUAACUACGUGCCAGCAGCCGCGGUAAUACGUAGGGUGCGAGCGUUAAUCAGAAUUACUGGGCGUAAAGGGUGCGCAGGCGGUCUUGCAAGUCAGAUGUGAAAGCCCCGGGCUUAACCUGGGAAUUGCGUUUGAAACUACAAGACUAGAGUGCAGCAGAGGGGAGUGGAAUUCCAUGUGUAGCAGUGAAAUGCGUAGAGAUGUGGAAGAACACCGAUGGCGAAGGCAGCUCCCUGGGUUGACACUGACGCUCAUGCACGAAAGCGUGGGGAGCAAACA